UGCGCCUCCACUCUCCUCACACCAUUCAACCGCGGAGAGAAGAGGCAUCACUGAAGGACUGGAGACCGGCGAAAUCGGACGUCAACCGCCACGCAACCGCACAGAGGCUUAUUUAUCAUGCAUCAAACUUUACUCGAUGUGUACGGUCGCUGCGUCGACGAAAUGACGUCCCGCGUCUCGAAACCCCGGACUUUUUCCCGCUCCUCAUGCGCGGCGAGACGCCGCGCAGCGAGAUAACGCCCCGAAGUUAUCGCAAUGAAUAUUUUGCAAACCCUGGUUUUGAGGCUGACUACAAACACGACAUCACCUCCCGCCGUCAUCCACCAACGCCACCCCCUCCACCGCCACCCAACAAUCGCACCCGUUCCCUGGAGAGGAACCCCAUGCAGAAUGCACGCACAAGAAAUGAAUCGAAGGUCCAGACAUGAAAGAGUCGAGAGACACAGGCACACACACACGCAAACACGGGGUGCUGCGUCUGUCUGCGGUCUUCAACCAGCCUGCCAAAAGAUACACACACACACGCACACACAUUACGGUGCAGCGUGGUGAAUACCAGGUGCAAGAGGAAGGGACAUUCUUCUGCUUGCUCCAACACAUCUGAUGCUACUUGAUGUUUUAUGGUUUAGGUGGUAACCUGUUCUGUAUAUGUUUGAAUAAUGCUGUAGAAAUGCAGGAAUAAAAAAAGAUAGUGCUGUAUCAGGAAGAGAGCGAGAGAGAGGGAGGGAGAGGGGUGGAAAGAUAAAGCGAGGGAGAGAGAGAGAGAAAUAAAGCGAGGGAGAGAGAGAGAGAAAUAAAGCGAGGCAAAGAGAGAGAGAGAGAGACCCCUCAAACGAUGCGUGAGACCGGAGUGAGCCGCCUGGCCGAUGCGUCUCCGAGCAGACAUCUGUCAGCACGGCUCGCCGUCAAGUCUGUGCUCGCCCCAGUAAACAUUCAACGCUGUCGGUGAGUUUGGGAUUAAAUUGGCACAAAACCAUCGACCGUUGAUUGUACCCUGUGGCCAGCCCUUGUCCCUCCAUGCUGUAAAAGGAGAAUGUGUGCUAGAAAUGCCUAUUCACUGGCCGCCCCCCCCCCCCACUCGCACAACCAGCCUCGUGGAGCAGGAAAACCAACAUGGCUGCUGACCGGCUUUGCACAGUCGGAAACACACACACCGUCCUCCCUUUCGACCCGUGCUCCGCUAAGACGUUAAAGAACAAUAUAAAGAAAGGCUAGGUCCAGCCCCCCAAACCACAACAAAGGUCACAAUCAACAUUCAUUGCUGUCGGUGGGUUUGGCUAUGAAGAAAAGCUCACUGAACGAUGAAUGCAACUGUGGCCCCGACCUCCUCGGACCGCCCGUCACUGUGAAUAGUGUCGCCGUAUGCUGAUGAUGUUAUUUAUUUGCAUAUUAAAAAAAA